GAUGAACGCUGGCGGCGUGCCUAAUACAUGCAAGUCGAGCGAACGGACGAGAAGCUUGCUUCUCUGAUGUUAGCGGCGGACGGGUGAGUAACACGUGGAUAACCUACCUAUAAGACUGGGAUAACUUCGGGAAACCGGAGCUAAUACCGGAUAAUAUUUUGAACCGCAUGGUUCAAAAGUGAAAGACGGUCUUGCUGUCACUUAUAGAUGGAUCCGCGCUGCAUUAGCUAGUUGGUAAGGUAACGGCUUACCAAGGCAACGAUGCGUAGCCGACCUGAGAGGGUGAUCGGCCACACUGGAACUGAGACACGGUCCAGACUCCUACGGGAGGCAGCAGUAGGGAAUCUUCCGCAAUGGGCGAAAGCCUGACGGAGCAACGCCGCGUGAGUGAUGAAGGUCUUCGGAUCGUAAAACUCUGUUAUUAGGGAAGAACAUAUGUGUAAGUAACUGUGCACAUCUUGACGGUACCUAAUCAGAAAGCCACGGCUAACUACGUGCCAGCAGCCGCGGUAAUACGUAGGUGGCAAGCGUUAUCCGGAAUUAUUGGGCGUAAAGCGCGCGUAGGCGGUUUUUUAAGUCUGAUGUGAAAGCCCACGGCUCAACCGUGGAGGGUCAUUGGAAACUGGAAAACUUGAGUGCAGAAGAGGAAAGUGGAAUUCCAUGUGUAGCGGUGAAAUGCGCAGAGAUAUGGAGGAACACCAGUGGCGAAGGCGACUUUCUGGUCUGUAACUGACGCUGAUGUGCGAAAGCGUGGGGAUCAAACAGGAUUAGAUACCCUGGUAGUCCACGCCGUAAUCGAUGAGUGCUAAGUGUUAGGGGGUUUCCGCCCCUUAGUGCUGCAGCUAACGCAUUAAGCACUCCGCCUGGGGAGUACGACCGCAAGGUUGAAACUCAAAGGAAUUGACGGGGACCCGCACAAGCGGUGGAGCAUGUGGUUUAAUUCGAAGCAACGCGAAGAACCUUACCAAAUCUUGACAUCCUUUGACAACUCUAGAGAUAGAGCCUUCCCCUUCGGGGGACAAAGUGACAGGUGGUGCAUGGUUGUCGUCAGCUCGUGUCGUGAGAUGUUGGGUUAAGUCCCGCAACGAGCGCAACCCUUAAGCUUAGUUGCCAUCAUUAAGUUGGGCACUCUAAGUUGACUGCCGGUGACAAACCGGAGGAAGGUGGGGAUGACGUCAAAUCAUCAUGCCCCUUAUGAUUUGGGCUACACACGUGCUACAAUGGACAAUACAAAGGGCAGCGAAACCGCGAGGUCAAGCAAAUCCCAUAAAGUUGUUCUCAGUUCGGAUUGUAGUCUGCAACUCGACUACAUGAAGCUGGAAUCGCUAGUAAUCGUAGAUCAGCAUGCUACGGUGAAUACGUUCCCGGGUCU
rnacentral:rRNA from 1 species